ensembl:piRNA 21ur-4059 ncRNA
UGGGUUUCGAAGCAAGAGCCA